UGGGGAUUUUGGGAAUGAAAAAUGGGGAUUUGGGGGAAAAAUGGGGAUUUUUAUAAUGGAAAAUGGGGAUUUGGGAAAUAAAAAUGGGGAUUUUUGAGAAUGAAAAAUGGGGAUUUGGGGGCAAAAAUUUGGAUUUUGAGUAUCAGAAAUGUAUAUUUUGGGUUAAAAAUGGGGAUUUUGAGAGUGUAAAAAUCUGCAAUUUUGGGCAAAACUGACAGAAAAUGUAAAAACAGCCCCGAAAAUGAGAGAUUUUCCCCCAAAAUUGAGGCGUUAUCAUAGGGCUCCCAAAAAUCACCGUUUUCAACCCAAAAUGUGAACGGGGACAGAAAAAAAAGGAGGAAAAAGAGAAAAAAAGAGAAAAAAGGAGAAAAAAAGAGAAAAAAAGAGAAAAAAAGAGAAAAAAAGGAGAAAAAAAGGAGAAAAAAAAAAGGUUAAAAAGGGAGAAAAAAAGGAAAGAAAGAGAAGAAAAAGG
rnacentral:lncRNA from 1 species